CAGCCGCCGCGGUAAUACGAAGGGGGCUAGCGUUGUUCGGAUUUACUGGGCGUAAAGCGCACGUAGGCGGAUCGAUCAGUCAGGGGUGGAAUCCCAGAGCUCAACUCUGGAACUGCCUUUGAUACUGUCGAUCUGGAGUAUGGAAGAGGUGAGUGGAAUUCCGAGUGUAGAGGUGAAAUUCGUAGAUAUUCGGAGGAACACCAGUGGCGAAGGCGGCUCACUGGUCCAUUACUGACGCUGAGGUGCGAAAGCGUGGGGAGCAAACAGGAUUAGAUACCCCGGUAGUCCCUGUCUCUUAUAC
rnacentral:rRNA from 1 species